rnacentral:rRNA from 1 species
GUGGGGAAUAUUGGACAAUGGGCGAAAGCCUGAUCCAGCCAUGCCGCGUGUGUGAAGAAGGUCUUCGGAUUGUAAAGCACUUUAAGUUGGGAGGAAGGGCAGUAAGUUAAUACCUUGCUGUUUUGACGUUACCGACAGAAUAAGCACCGGCUACUUCGUGCCAGCAGCCGCGGUAAUACGAAGGGUGCAAGCGUUAAUCGGAAUUACUGGGCGUAAAGCGCGCGUAGGUGGUUUUGUAAGUUGGAGGUGAAAUCCCCGGGCUCAACCUGGGAACUGCCUCCAAAACUGCAUGACUAGAGUACGGUAGAGGGUAGUGGAAUUUCCUGUGUAGCGGUGAAAUGCGUAGAUAUAGGAAGGAACACCAGUGGCGAAGGCGACUACCUGGACUGAUACUGACACUGAGGUGCGAAAGCGUGGGGAGCAAACAGGAUUAGAAACCCGAGUAGUCC